rnacentral:rRNA from 1 species
GUAGGGAAUAUUGGGCAAUGGAUGCAAGUCUGACCCAGCCAUCCCGCGUGCCGGAAGAAGGCCCUCAGGGUUGUAAACGGCUUUUGACGGUGAAGAAUCGACAGGAUGCGUCCUGUUUUGACGGUAGCCGUUGAAUAAGCACCGGCUAACUCCGUGCCAGCAGCCACGGUAAUACGGAGGGUGCGAGCGUUGUCCGGAUUUAUUGGGUUUAAAGGGUGCGUAGGCUGGAAGGUCAGUCAGCGGUGAAAAGCUGUCGCUUAACGAUAGUCUUGCCGCAGAUACUUCCUUUCUUGGAUGAGGAGGAGGCCACUGGAACGGAUGGUGUAGCGGUGAAAUGCAUAGAUAUCAUCCAGAACACCGAUUGCGAAGGCAGGUGGCUGUACCUUAAUCGACGCUGAUGCACGAAAGCAUGGGGAGCAAACAGGAUUAGAAACCCCGGUAGUCC